AAUCAAGCGCGAUAAGGGCGUUUGGUGGAUGCCUUGGCAGUAAGAGGCGAUGAAGGACGUGAUACUCUGCGAUAAGCCAUGGGGAGCUGAGAAUAAGCUUUGAUCCAUGGAUUUCCGAAUGGGGAAACCCACCUGACAGUUCGUUAUGAUUGCCCUUCGGGGCAGCUCAUAACAAGCUGAACCAGGUAUCUUUUACCUGAAUACAUAGGGUUUAAGAAGCGAACCCGGGGAACUGAAACAUCUAAGUACCCGGAGGAAAGGAAAUCAACAGAUACUCCGCUAGUAGUGGCGAGCGACCGCGGCCCAGCCGAGCCUUGAGAGUGACGAGAACAGAUUGGAAAGUCUGGCCAUAGCGGGUGACAGCCCCGUAUCGGAAGCUCGAUGGGACGUAUCAAGUAGGGCGGGACACGUGAAAUCCUGUCUGAAGAUCGGGGGACCACCCUCGAAGGCUAAGUACUCCUUACUGACCGAUAGCGAACCAGUACCGUGAGGGAAAGGUGAAAAGCACCCCGACGAGGGGAGUGAAACAGUUUCUGAAACCGGACGCCUACAAGCAGUCGGAGCCCCCUUGAGGGGUGACGGCGUACCUUUUGUAUAAUGGGUCAACGACUUGGUCUGUCUAGCAAGCUUAAGCCGUUAGGUGUAGGCGCAGCGAAAGCGAGUCUUAAAUGGGCGACAUAGUUAGACGGAUCAGACCCGAAACCGAGUGAUCUAGGCAUGAGCAGGAUGAAGGUACGGUAACACGUACUGGAGGUCCGAACCCACACCUGUUGAAAAAGGUCGGGAUGACUUGUGCCUAGGGGUGAAAGGCCAAUCAAACUCGGAGAUAGCUGGUUCUCCGCGAAAGCUAUUUAGGUAGCGCCUCGGACGUAUCCUCUUGGGGGUAGAGCACUGCAUGGAUGAUGGGGGCCCACAGCCUUACUGAGUCUAAGCAAACUCCGAAUACCCAGGAGAACUAUCCGGGAGACACACGGCGGGUGCUAACGUCCGUCGUGGAGAGGGAAACAACCCUGACCAACAGCUAAGGCCCCCAAUUCGUGGCUAAGUGGGAAAGCAUGUGAGACUUCCAAAACAACCAGGAGGUUGGCUUAGAAGCAGCCAUCCUUUAAAGAUAGCGUAACAGCUCACUGGUCUAAUUAAGAGGUCUUGCGGCGAAGAUGUAACGGGGCUCAAGCCACGAGCCGAAGCUUUGGAUGUGCAUUUAUGCACGUGGUAGCGGAGCGUUCUGUGAUAUAGAACGCUGCCUCUUUUGAUCCUUCGGGUUCAACGGAGGCAAUGUUCUGACUGUGAAGCCGGGCCGUGAGGCAACCGGUGGAGUGAUCAGAAGUGAGAAUGUUGACAUGAGUAGCGACAAACAGGGUGAGAGACCCUGUCGCCGAAAGUCCAAGGGUUCCUGCUUAAAGCUAAUCUGAGCAGGGUAAGCCGGCCCCUAAGGCGAGGCCGAAAGGCGUAGUCGAUGGGAACCAGGUUAAUAUUCCUGGUGACUGUGAAGCCGGGCCGUGAGGCAACCGGUGGAGUGAUCAGAAGUGAGAAUGUUGACAUGAGUAGCGACAAACAGGGUGAGAGACCCUGUCGCCGAAAGUCCAAGGGUUCCUGCUUAAAGCUAAUCUGAGCAGGGUAAGCCGGCCCCUAAGGCGAGGCCGAAAGGCGUAGUCGAUGGGAACCAGGUUAAUAUUCCUGGGCCAGGAGAUGGUGACGGAUCACAGAGCUAGUUCUUCCUUAUCGGAUUGGAAGGGCUGGUGAGUGGUUCCUGGAAAUAGCCCUCCAUGAGACCGUACCCUAAACCGACACAGGUGGACUGGUAGAGAAUACCAAGGCGCUUGAGAGAACCACAUUUAAGGAACUCGGCAAAAUACCUCCGUAAGUUCGCGAGAAGGAGGCCCGGUUUUUGCGCAAGCAGAGGCCGGGGGCACAAACCAGGGGGUGGCGACUGUUUACUAAAAACACAGGGCUCUGCG
rnacentral:ncRNA from 1 species